rnacentral:tRNA from 3 species
CGGGGUGUAGCUUAGCUUGGUAGAGCGCCUGGUUUGGGACCAGGAGGUCGCAGGUUCGAAUCCUGUCACCCCGA